rnacentral:lncRNA from 1 species
GAGGAUAUCCGGUAUUUGUUGGUGCAGUGAUAUCCCUAGGCCUGUUUACAAGGUUGCACCAAAAGCUUUGAAGACUUGUCUUCUAGGAAGGGAAACAAAAUUCUUAAAUUUUCAUCUGAUGUCUAUAAAAAAACAUGUAAAUCACAGAAAGAGAGGUUUCCAACUUAAGCUAAGGGUUCUGCAACUAAUCCGGACAGUAGUUCAGCAUUUGUUUUCUUCAAAAUGCAUGAUUGAGCCAAGUGUUUCCUGCCUUGUCCAACAUGAGAUUUUUGCAGGGUCCCUGUUUUACCCACAGCUGAAAGUGAUUUGAGAAGAGGAAAUCCAUGUCCAACCAAGUUUCCAAUUCCUCAUAAAAAUACUUAAAGCUUUCAGCACUCCAUCAUCCAUUACCAUUACCAGAUUACCACUCACAAAGUUGAACAAUACAUGGCUGCUUCACUGCUCCAUAUUACUAUAUAAACAAGCUCCAAUCACAAAGUUAAACAAUACAUGGCUCCUUCACUGCUCCAUGUUACUAUAAAAACAAACUUCAAUGCUGACGGUGUAAACAAUACAUGGCUGCUUCACUGCUCCAUGUUACUAUAAAAACAAACUCCAAUGGUGACGGUGCAUCCUCUGUAGGAACAAGGGGAGUCAUCAAACCAGUAAUCCACCAAAUUUUGCAGUGACAAGAUCUUAAUCUUCUUCUCAUUGUCUCAGUGUUCCUGAAUAUCUGAAAUCAUAAAGCAAGAAGGGAACUCCGCAAGCUACUGAAGCAACCGAGCCAGUGUGGAAGAAUUUCUUUCACUCUUCAAUCAAAUAUGCAUCCCUUUUACUUUGGCAACUCCUCAAAUCAGCUACGAAUGGUGUUAAAAGCAAUUAAAACUUGGAUGAUUUGUCCUUGAGAACCUUUAUAAAUAUAGGAACUUUUGGAAAAGAAGAGUAAGUUGAUGAUUGUCCUCGAUCUGAUGGUGUUCUUGUCCGCACCAGCAACCCUCUAUAGGUUUUCCUUUCCAUGAAAAAUAAC